rnacentral:tRNA from 1 species
GGGUAAUUAGUCCAAAUAAGACACUUGAUUUCGGCUCAAGAGAUUGAAGUUAAACCCCUCAAUUGCCCU